ensembl:lncRNA
UGCAACUACAUAUCUAUGGUGUGCUGAGUAUUCCGCACAAUUACUUAAUUUAAACUUGACAAUUAUCCCUGUUUUACAGAUUAGCAAACUGAGUCUCAGGAAGGCUAAGUUACAAUAAAGGCACAGAGUAAAUGGCAAUGCCUAUAUUUCACUCUACCACAACACCUUGCUAAUGAAAAUACCUAAGCUCAUCUGAAGUUUAUACUUUAAAAUAUUCUUGUCAAGAAACUCUAUGUCUAGAAUAACAAGUCAUUCCACCACUCCUCCCACUCUCAAGUCCUACCCACUCCACCACACACCUUCCCUCUGACACACACUCACAUCCAUUCCCUACACCCACUUGCCUUCUUCCAAGCCUUCACAGAGCUGUUCCCUCUGCUUAGACUGUCCUACCUUUCUUCCCCACUUAAGAGAACCCCAACCCAUCCUCCCCAAUGGGACAGUGACUUCAAAAUCUUUGCUCCCUCUCCCAAGGAGGAUUAGCUGCGUCCACUCCAGCAUGUGUGAUCAGUUUAUCUUUCUGUCAGAUCGCACAUCCACCACUUGAGAUUGGCAUUUGCCUACCUCUUUGACCACUACUAGAACAUGAACUCCUCAAAAUCAGGGUCUGGAACCUACUUCUGCAUAUCUGUUCAUCUAAGUACUUAGGGAGCGCACAGUGGGAGUUCAAAAAGUGCUUGUUGAAUUCAUGAAUGAAUUUCCUUUUAAAUCAAGGUCGAUAUUUCAUAUGUCCUAGAUUGUGAAUGAAUCAUAUGUACGUAAACACUGUGAAGUAACUGGCUCUUAAAUGAGUUUAAGAAUGACUACGAAGAAAGGCUUCACUCACCCAAACCCAGUUUUUUCAGAGACCUCGCCCGGUUUCAUCUGUUUCAGCCCAGGCACGAGAUGGCCCCGCCUCCCUGCCUGCCAAUCAACCGGCCCUCGCGCCUGCGCAGACAUCGUCCUCUCACGAAGCCCCGCCCCAGUCACCGCCCCGGGACUGUUGCGGGCGGUUAGAUGUGGCGGGAGCUCUUCCUUCAUUAGCUCGCCCACUAUGACGAUCACCUACAGCUGCAUUGCAAAUGGCCGAGCGGUCCUAGCGGAGCUGGCCCUAACCGGCGGGUCUUAUCAGGAAGCAGCAGCAGCAGUGCUUAAGCUAGUACUUCUUAGAGCUGAACCAAAGACCAUGAUUCAAAUGGGAAGGCCAAAGAAUCCCCCCAAACAAUGA